rnacentral:rRNA from 1 species
UGCGUAGGCGGCUUGUUAAGUAGGGUGUGAAAUCCCCCGGCUCAACCGGGGAAUUGCGCCCUAAACUGGCGAGCUGGAGUGAGAUAGGGGUGUGUGGAACUUCCAGUGGAGCGGUGAAAUGUGUUGAUAUUGGAAGGAACGCCAGUGGCGAAAGCGACACACUGGGUCUCAACUGACGCUGAGGCACGAAAGCCAGGGAGCAAAACG